rnacentral:rRNA from 1 species
UACGUAGGGUGCAAGCGUUGUCCGGAAUUAUUGGGCGUAAAGAGCUCGUAGGCGGUCUGUCGCGUCUGCUGUGAAAACUCGGGGCUUAACCCCGGGCCUGCAGUGGGUACGGGCAGACUAGAGUGCGGUAGGGGAGACUGGAAUUCCUGGUGUAGCGGUGAAAUGCGCAGAUAUCAGGAGGAACACCAAUUGCGAAGGCAGCUCGCUGGGACGUUACUGACGCUGAGACGCGAAAGCGUGGGGAGCGAACAGG